CAAGAAUGCAGCUCAUACAGGUAAAAGCUUUGUACAGGUACCAGAAACAAGAGCAGGAAUCCAGGACACACACUAGUUUUAAGAUCCACGUGAUGGUAAAGAAAGAGUGGAACUGGGGCUUAAAGCCAGAAAAAAAGGACAUCUAUGUGACCUGAUCAGAUGAAAGGAAGGGAAAUGGACCACAGAGUGAAGCGAACUCGACAAGAUUACUCCUAAUACAACCAAUACAAGAUGUUUACGUGGAUGUGUUGCGACAGAUAGGCCAUGCCCUUCACCUGUGCCUGCUUCUGUGGCCUGAACGGCUUCUGCAACAGAAGGAAGAAGAAGAAAAAGGAGCAAGUGGAGGAAGAGAAGGGUGAGGAGGUAGAACGAUGGAAGGAUCAGGAGACGGAGGUGUGACAGCAGCGCUGUCAGCUGCUCUCUCCUCACCUUCACCAGGGUUUUAUCUUUUAAAAGACCGGGAUGUACGACCCAGGUCACUGCUGCUCAGUACAGACUGUUUGGGGAAGCAAACAGGGAUGGGAAGGGGCUUCAGCAUGCACAGACUUUUUGCUGAAAAUCUGAAUUAAUCAGGCAUUUUUGAACCACAUACUGAAUCUGCGACUAAGGCAUUUUCUACUUUUUAAACUCCUUUAUCUCAACAUGCUGUGUGGAGCCAUAUUCCUCAAGAUGAAUCAGAUUGAUGAAAAUAAAAGCCUGUGUACUGUAAGCCUUAGCUGAUCCCCAUUAGCCAUCCCUGCAGCACUCUAAUUUCCCCUUGGCAGCUGACUGAGAACUUUGCUUCUGCUGAUGUGAUUCCAAAAAAACAUUUCUUAUCUGUUUGAUUCAUGUCUUUCCAUAGCUGAUGUACUGUAUGAGGUGCGAAGUGAUGAUGAGCCCUAGAAAUCCAUUAUUUCUCUCAGUCACACCUCUCAGCGACGCCCCAUCUCUCCCUUCUCCUUCUUAAUCGCAGCUCCACUGAGGCUGAAUUGGAACCAAAGCUCGGUGGAGCGCUGCACCUCUUCACCUACCUGCUUAUGUCAGAUCAACUUAGUGAAAACUUCAGCCAAGGGAGAAAGAGUGCAGUAAUUUCCAAAGUCACCCAUGGAGGGCCAGAGCCCAUCUCGGUUUUCACGCUGAGCUGGGCCCAAUCUAAAGCUGAGCAGCUGUCCAAUCAGCAGCUUAGCUGGAGUGUGAAGAUAGGAGUCAAGGGUCAGAAUGAGCAACAGGAUUUGUGAAAUGUCCCUCCUCUGAUGCCUAGUAUGUGUCUCAUUAAUAGGCAGACAAGUAAUUACAAACACACGCACACACUGAUGCAGACUCACCUAUUGAUGUCCCCCGCUGGGAGCGGGGUGUCUGUCUGUAAAUGCCACCGAGGUGCGCUUCCAGCUGUCCCUGCCUGAGUUUAUGACUCUGAAAGCAUGUGUCUGCGUGCUUGUGUUACUUCUUGGCUACAACAAUAGACUUUCAAACCUGAAACAAGUGGUUAAGAUAUCUCUUCUCCAGCAACAUAACUGCCUUCACUAUGCACAUGGAGACAGAAAGACAAAGACACACCAUCACAUACACACACAGGUCUCAUUAACGUGUGUGAUUAUGCAUGGCACGUCCAGUCAGGCAGUGGAGAUGUAAUUAACCUUUUUCAGCAGGAAACAGAUGCCUGGAUGUCACACACAAACACACACACACACACACACACACACACACACAAGUCUGCUGUCAGGGAAACAAAGCCAACGUCACGGUGUCACGGAAACAAAGCCCCAAAAGUGCUGCCUGGCACGCUGUGAUAAUCCCCUAACGCAUAUUUACAUUCAGGGCUUAGAAUACGCCUCGGUGCCGCCAUCUCCACCCACCGCCGCUCUCUGCUCCCACGCCCCUCCUCCACCCAUCCAUCCUCUCUCUCCUCUACAUUUACCUUUCGGUCUUUCACCUGAUUUACCCUUUUCCUUCUGCUAUCUCUUCCUUUCCCAAAACUCGGGUUCAUGUGUUUAUUUCUUAGUGGAUAGUACAUGGCCUUGCAUGGUGGCUCCCAUAGAUUAGCCCACACCCUCUCUGUCUCUGACUCUGAAUAUCAGGGAUUUCUUCAGGCGGGCAAAAAGCUGCUUUAUGUCAGAUUAAUGGACGGCCCUGAUUGUGUCUGUUGGUGUGUGUCUGUGCCUGGGUGGAAUAGAUUGUCUGUUUAGUCAUUCUCCUGCUACAAGCGGUGAAAUGAGACAAAGCUAAAGCCAUUUCACAGUGUAGAGCACCUAUUAUGAUUCACUGUGUUACGACGCAGCCCUAAUGAGAAAGAGAGGGAAUGAGAAGAGGGGUUGGAGGAUAGGAGAGGAAGAGAGAAAAAGACGGUAAUGAGAGCGAGAGUUUGAAACAGAAGAGGGGGGCGAAUGCUAGACAGAGCAGUCAUGCUAAUUGGCUACAGUGGAUAACUUUCUGAAGCAGGGAUGAGUAUUUGUGUGGUGGGUGGGGGGAAGAGAAAAGAACAGCCUGAUCUGUCGGCAUUACACUCGUUUAAUGCUCCCUCCAUUUCACCUCUUUAAUGAGAGGAAUAUUCGCUCCAGUAAUGGUGAAAGACUUGAAAUUGGUAACCAUUUUUUUUCACACACACACACACACACACACACACACACACACACUCGGAGGUGGUAUUGGGGGAGGUUGGUGUUGGCGGAGGUAGGUGUGUGUUUUCCCUCAAGCGCCACAACCCAGUCCUUUAUGGAUCAUGGCAAUUUUCAUGGAUUGUAACUCAAGGACAUCCAGCUAAAAAUAGCAGGGUGGUGCACGACUCCUGCGAUAGCGGGGAGGGGAGGAGGUGUCUGUGUGUGUUUGUGUGUGUGUGGGUGGAGUUAGUGAAAACGAGUCCUGUCGCAUUAGAUUUGGGUCAGAAACGAGGGAAAGGCCAAGGAAGCGGAAGAGUGUUACAGACAGCGGGGAGAUUCAUUACUCUCUGCUCCCUGUACCUCUUGUCCAUCUCCUUCAGCAUCGCGCCGCCCUCCCCCUUCUCUUCGGAAAAGAUGGUGAACUGCUGGAAAUACAAGGGAGAAGUGGCAGGGCAUAGAAGAGAGGGAAGAGCGUAUGUUUAAUGUGAGAGACUGAACCACAGCUAGUUAGAUAAUAUUCUAAGAUUAAUAUAUGUCUUCCUAUAAUGAGUGCAUACUUAAAUUCAUACUAUCAUUCUAUUAAAAGAUCCCAGGAGAGAACAAACUGUAAUAGAAGAGCCUUACUCUUACUCAGAGGGUCUGUUCCAAGUGUAAAGCACGGAACGAUGAUGAACCAGACCACUCUCAUGUCUGCAGGGAAGUGGGAAUUGAUUAGCUUAGCAUAAAGAUUGGAAGCAGACUUUACUCUGGUCGAAUAAGCAUAUAUAUGGUGUAUUGGUUUACCCUCUGUAUCACAUAAGGAAUUGAACCCCAUUACUGUGUCAAUGAUAGGGUUCCUUGUCAAGGAAAUAGGCCCCUAACCACUUAAAGGUGUGUAAGUUUUAGUGACAUCUAGUGGUAAAGAUUGUGAAUUGCAACCGAUUGCUCACUCACCAGUCUACCCCCCUCUUUUCAAGUGAGUAGGAUAGCAACGGUGGCUGACACAGGACAAACCGUGUUGUCUUCUGAGAUAGCUGAGAGUAGUCAGUCAAGAAAUGAGGUCUCUUUAAACAGAUAUAUUAAGAACUUAUGUUUACUUUAAAUAUAAUUAUAUAGUAAAACUAUAUGUUAUUGCAAAUAUUAUUGUUACUUGUUCACAGGGCCAUAACCAGGGUUUAGAAAUUAGUGAGGUCCAGAUUUAAAAAUUUUUAUAUUCUAUUUAAAAAUAGAGCCUGUUUACGGUAAUUCAUACCAAAAUUACAGGUAAACACAAUGAAAGUUAUACACUUAAGUCACAAAAACUAAUGGUCUAUAAUGAAAUACAUACUAAGAGAACUGUUGGCCAAAAUUAUUAAAUCUUGUGGGCAAAGCACUGUUUGGUUGAAGAUACACACAAGCUAUGAUCAAAAAGUACAAACCGGGAAAUCUUGGUAAAAUUAAUCUUCACAACAUGUAUUAGGGCUAAAUGUAUCUUAAAUGUAGCCUACAACUGUCAUCACAGGACCCAAUACAUUAUAUGUUGUAUUGAUGAAUGUUUUCUUUAAUGAUGAGUGUUUUCUUCAACGAUUUACUUUAAUGAUUAAGAGGCUGUUGUCAAUCAUUUAAAGGUUUCCAUGCACGCAAUAAAGUCACAGCUAAUUCGACAUUUAUGCAGCAAAACAAAAACAAUGUAGUUAAUAUUUGACAGGACAGACAGAGGAAACUCUGCCAAGGAAACAGAAUUCAACUUUUAGCCUGUGAAAUGUUUAGAUGCUCUGAUGGAGCUCAGAAUUGAUCAGGAGGACGGCUGCUUUACUCCAAACAGUUUCACUGUAUAAACCUGGACUGUGUGUGAGACCUUUUGGAUGUGUAGAAAAACACAGCAUAUUAUUUAACAGUAGAUCCUGAUGAUCCUGUCGGGAGAUUUAAAUAUGAAGUUAUACUGCGGUGGCUUGUGCAUAAAUGCACACGCUUCACGCUAUUUCACCCACCCAGAAAUUUGAUAAACUUAUUUAUCGCACAAAACUCUGCCCACAAAUAGAAUUGAUGGAGAAACAGUUUUUCAACUUGAAAUGAGGGUUCCAUGGGUGUAAUCAGCUGCAGCUAACAUACCAAAGUAAAUGAAAAACAUCUCAAAAACUAUCACAUCUAGUGCAAGUAUGACCACUGACAUGGAAAAUGUAAGCCUCAAUGUUUCUUUACCACAGUCCACCACAUAAUACAUGAAGUUUACAAACGCAUAGUCACAUGAGGACCAAGGCUCCUCUACACUUUGUUUAAUUAGAUAAGUAAUCUGUAAGUCGUACACCAAGAUGUCUUACAAAUGGUUCUAUACAAUUGAAUCACAAAGUAGUACUAUUAACCAUAAUUUCAGCUUGUGGUAAACUGGUGCAUCAUUUUUAAUUUACCCUGUUAAUUAUUAAAUUACACAUUUGUGUGCACAGCCCCACGACCCUGUACGCAGGAUAAGCGGUUGACAGAUGGAUGGAUGGAUUUGUGUGCACAGUAGCAAAGCAAUAGCCUACAAACAAAUAUGUUUUAAUUUUCAUGCAAAUUCUGAAAGUAUAAGCAUUAUUGGUCACUUGAUAGGCACACGGUCUUGUUAUCAUAAGGCCAUUAGCAGAAAAAAUAAAUAAGUUUUCCACCAGGGCAGUAAUAUGUGAAGUCUAGGUGGCUAUCUGAGCUUCCACGCUGUACAGUUUUAUUGCCAAUAAUAGUCAUCAGCUGUUUGUCUCGUGAACAUAACCGAUACAUUUUGUCCACGUGGCAAAGCCAACACACAGUGCUGGAGAAUAACUAAAUGAAAUUACAAUCCAACUAAAUAUUUUUUCUAGCAGGGCAGUAAAAGUUUAGCUGACUUAUCUGAGCUUUCAUGCUGUAGGCUACAGUUUUAUUGCCAAUAAUAUGAUCAGCCAUUCCAAUGAACGUAAGCGGCACUUUUUUCUGUCCAGCUACCAAAGCCGAAACAUAGCGCUGGAUAUUCAACUGUAUAUUCCACACCACUGACAAGCAAAACACAUUAUUUCUCUCAGUGCUUAUGGCCAGCUUCUAGCUAAAGCUAUCAAAAAACAGUUUUCAUUUGCAUCGCUAGUUGCACUAACUUAAUUACCUGUCACCUACUGUACAUGGUGACGCAACAUGGCAACCUCCAAGUGAGGGGGAUUAUGUAGACAGAAAUGGCUCAUUCUAAGGUAAAUAAAACAUAACGGUUCAUAAUGUACGGUGUACACCACUGAAAACAUAGUUAUGGAUCUUAUAUUGUAUUUCUGUCACUAGAUCUUUAGAAAUAUUGCACACUGAACCUUUAAGUCCCACCGAGGAGUUUAACAUCUAAUGCUCAACUCAUGCAGAAGGAGCUACUUUCAGACACCAAAUGUUAGCCACCAGUGACAUGCCACAGCAACCAGCUACACGUCACCCUUCCAACGAUCUGGAGCCCAUUUCACAAAAGUCAUUUGUGAGUGUUGCUUAAAUGCAAAUCGCUGUUUAUUUUGAUUAGUUAAAAACACAGGAACAUGAACAAUAUGAAUACAAAAGGAGAUUAAAAAAAUCAAAGUAAGUAAAAGUUAGAGAAUAUGCUUUUGAUUGCUGAUAUCCCCCUACUGUCAUCUCAUCACAACUUAGUAGAGUAGGCUGUAGUUCAUUCUUCAUCAUGAAAAUACCAGUUUGACUCUAGGUACACUUACUCAAUCUGAUGAAGACAACUCAUGGUUUUCAUCAGCAGAUGGAGUUCGCUCAGUUUUCAUCAUGGAUCACUCUCGGGUGCUGCAUGAAUCAAAGUUGGCCUUCACAACAACUGAAGAAAUUCUGUUGAUGAAGACAAUGAGAUACUAGUAUGUGGACCUUGAGUUAGAAAUUGCAACUUUUUAAAAUAUUUCAUAUUUUGUAAAAAUCAUAAGCAUUGUUAAUUGGUUCAAACUGGAUAAUCAAACCUAAAGGUACGGUAGAAAAAACAUGUUCAGUCACAUGUGGGUUCUGUAGCUGCAACAUCCCCACUUUGAUACUGGCCAGCAAUCAACCUUGCAUGACAUCACCCCUCUCUUUUGCACAAGUGUCACAUUCAUAUAUUCAAAUAAAGGCAAAUAAAGGAUAAUUUUAAGUUAUCAUCAACUCAGGCAGCAGUGCCACCUACCCUGGCCCUGCUUAUCAGUGGAGGUAACACUCACCAUCUGACAGCUCCCACAAGCAGUUACCUUUCUCCGGGGAAUGGAACCCUCAAGCCUCAGCUCUGGGUGUGUUACUGCGGUACGAUACAGCUCUUUCCCUCCAGCGUGUGCUCCUGUGCAUCAGCCUGUUGUUCCUCCAUUACUUUCUCUCCCACAUCUGUUCUGUUUUUCUUACAAGGAAAGUGAUGGUCCCACCAUGGCUAAUUAGGAGGACUGGGAUGCACUGGUAGACCAGUGAUACGGUCAGGAGGGGAGAGCCAACACUGGCCGCUUAGCGUUCCCACCAGCAUCAGAGGAAGGAACGGGGAAAUGGGAUGCAGAGAGAGGAGAUAAAAACAGAGGGAAGGUGUAUAUAGCGCAGUCGAGACUGUAAUGGGUUUUGUCAGGAGCACCUGUCAGGGUCAAGUUAAAAUGUCUUCAGUGAGAGAGGACAAGAGGGAUGAGAUGAUGGGAGAGUUGGAGUCAGGAUCCCGGUGAGGAGAGGCCCUCAUCCAUGCCAGCCUCACCUGAUUGCCAAUUUGUGCCAGUCUGCAGACAUCAAACACUAAUACAAGCCUCACGCAAACACACCAACGCCACAACUGGAGACGGCCAUACGCAUUCAAUACACACACACACAAGCAUGAACUCAUGCUGACAACCCACCUACGCUGGCUGAUUGGACACAUCAAGCCCCUUAACAAGGUGUUCACGGUGCAGACCUAAGCCAUGUGAUUGGAAGAUAAAACUGCCGCCGUUAAAUAUGUAAUUCUCCCCCAUGUCUGAUGAAAAUAAGGUGCAGCGCUGAUUAGAUUGCUGCCUGCUGUGCCAACCUCGGGUCUGCGCCAUGUUCAUUACCAGCCCACACUCCCCAACCCAACCAAUCCUAUCUCGAUUUGUGUUCUCCUGCAAAACCCCCAAAUACUCUAUUUGUGAUGGAAAAGCAAUUGUGACAGCCUCGAGAGUUGAGGUUGAUGCCUGAGGAGUGAUGAAAUUAAGUCGAGUAAAAUGUAUUUAUAAAUCACAAGCUGCACCUGGCAAUUUAAAGUUUUGACAGCCCCAAAUGGCAUCCAGACGGAACUGAUUGAAAUAGAAAUUCUGUUAAGGCGGUGUCCGUAAAUGUCCCGCUCUCGGUCUGGAGAGGGUGGAGGUGAAGAAGAGCUUCAGCCAUCAUUCUUCAGUGGAUAUUUUAUAGGCUGUAUCAAUAUAUUCAAUUUUAAAUUAUUAUUCCCGGCAAUGUACCAAAACCAAUGGAAUCAAUUAUUAUUUUUCAGAAUUACUUAACAAUUAAGUGUUCCUUUAUGGGUUUAGGAUGUUGUCCUACGUCUUGAGCUAAAUAAGCCAUUUAAAUCCCAUUGGAUUUGAAAACUGCCCUGUUUUUCUUAACUCAUUAGACAUUUUGGAGAUGCAAGUUUUUCACAGAUCAGAGACCUUCAUGGUGGGAAAUACAAUUUAUUUAUUGCUGAAUGGUUAACUAAAGAAAUUAUAUGUUAAAGGGCCACCUCCAUAAAGUUGGGAAAUUAAAGAUUUAAUCUCAAGUACCGUUCAAGCAUUCUAAAUAAAAUUAGACUCGUGACCUCGAUAUUUCUAAAAUGCUGAACCUCCACUGCUAAAACACCAUGAUUUUGUGCCGUGUGAUAAACCAAUAAAUACAAACCCGAAACCAAUGUCUAGUAGUUGGUUGUCAGUUUGGUGAGGAAGAGCUUGUAACAUCCUGACGGUCUAAUGAAUAUAUUUUGUAAGUACAAAUAGAAAUUUGAUACAAAGCACAAAGAAUGAACUCUAGUGAGUGAAAUCCCUUAUGUCUCUCCCUGGUCUCUACCACUGGCUGGAAAAUGAAAAAGAUCUUAAAACACAAGGUAUUCUACCUGCUCAGCUGCCUCGGGUAACAGUAGGCUUGAUUUUGUGGAACAUUUGCUAUUAACAAUUAGGAUCUACAAGUUUUAUUUAACAUAUUAGAGCACUAAAUAUUCACCAGUCUUGAGUGUCAGAAUUUAAACCAGCAGCAGAGUCAAUAGCAACUCUGCCAGCAAAAUACCCAAUUUAUGUCCAGUUCCAGUGCUGAAAACCUGGAGUCUUCCGUUUCAGUGGGCUGAAGGUUAAAGGAGAUGCACACAGAAUCCUCCAUAACAACUUGUGUAACUUGUGUAUCUCAGCUCAUACACCACUUCCAGAGUGUACUUCUCAAAAUGGAAAGAAAUGUAUAUUGAGCUGGACAGAGAAAAACUUUUCUAAUUGGUCGGGGGCUGUGAACAAGUCAGGUGUCCCAGAUAUCUGAAGCCAAUUGACCAUCAAUGGGAGAUAAAUCAAUUUCUCUCCACUUUUUUCCUUAGCCCUUUCUCUUUAUCCCACCCAGCCUUCUGUUCUCUCUCACACUCUCUCAUCCACACAUACUUCCACUUCCACUGGUCGAUACCGGAGCGGGUAUUGAGCAGUGGCUGUGGUCUAAAUGAGAGUUUGAUUUCUUGGGGGGCGUUAGUCCAGUAACCAUGGUGGGUGUUGAGUCGCAGAGACCACUUCACCAAACGCUCACUGAUGAAGUGCGUUCAGCUGGCAGGUGACAAUUCAAAAUAUAAAAAUAUAAUGCAGUACUCAGCAGCUUCUUACUUUUUUGGACAAUGUACAUUUGUUUCUUCUAUGUUCACAUUGCAUUGCAUGUUUUCUUAUUGUGCAAAUAAACCUUUCUUAAAGGUUUCAUAGAAAAUACUCAUAGAAAAUACUGUAUUGUACUGUACUGUGCAGUACUAUUGUACUGCAUAUUUGUAACUUGACCCUGAGGCUGUAGUCCUACAGUCUGACAGCCGAUGUAGUAAGUAUUACCUGAAGGACAUCCACAGGUGAACAGUUCCUGCUGUGCUAAUUGAAAGAGUUUACAAACUGUCAGAUGUCUGAACUGCACACACUUGAAAAAUUUAACAAAAUAAAAUAUCACCAAAUCCCCAGCAGGACUUGGACCUAGAUAUGGAGAUAAAAAUAGAUUCUGAAGAAAUUGACUUUACUAGAAAGAGAAGUGAUCAUUGCAAUGCACACUGUAAGCAUGACUGUAACACAAUAUAUAUAUAUAUAUAUAUAUAUAUAUAUAUAUAUAUAUACAUACAUGUAUAGGCCUAGUGUGUGUGCCAUACAUUGUCUGCCACACACGUUUUGUGCUUUUAUACCACUCACUGUGUGUAAAGUACGGUGCAUGCAUCUUCUCCAAUUAUGAAACCUAAUGACCACAAAGUAUGUGCUACCAUAUUGCCAAAAUGUAGACUACCUGUGGUAUUUUAAUGCAGGCUAAUAAAAAAUGUGCACAUACAUGGGAACAUGGAAAAACAGAAAAAAAAAUCAUUGGUCUCUGAUCGGCGUGACCGCUGACUGAACAGAUAAGGCUCCAGGAUUAACUAAGCCUGGCUGUUAGCCUGGUCUGGAGCAGGCUAGCUGCACAGAAUAAAACACCAUGGUAACUUAAAUUCUACUGCUUUCGUGAAACCGAGUCAGGGCUUAAUUCAGACAGGAUAUCUGGAAAAGCCCGGCUUAAUCCACUAUCUUGGUUUUGUGAAUCAGCCCUCUGAUCUGCUGUUGAACACUUUAUUCUCCUUGAAAAACAAACACGCGCACAGAAAGACAACACAGUCCCGACUGCAUCUUGAGUCAAUUCUCAAUAGUUCAUCAGAGCUUCAAGAAAGUGAAAACUAGCUGGCUGAGUCUAGUUUUCUUCUGAAGCUCUGAUGGAGCCUUUCUGCUCAGGUUGUGUGAGCCUAUUCAUAACAUUUACUAAGCUGCUGAUAUCGUCUAAACCAACAAAAAGCCUGUUAUUGCGAUCCAAUAUGUGGCCAAAGCCGUAGAGCACAUUGCAAACCCCUCUGUGCUUUCCAGAAUCUGUCCAUUAAUGCUGCUUUGCACUGAGCGUCCAGACUUUGAGUUUGUUUGACGGGAUUUGUGAUUGUUCGUAGCAUUUUGCAAAGUCUUUCACCCCUUGUAGCCUUCUGUGCUCGCUGCCACCCGACAACACACACAGCAGCCUGUUUGUGUGCGCCUGAGUGUGUGUAACGCCAUCUCCUCUUUCUAUGGAGUUUUUAUAUUAUUCAUGUCUCUGGGCCUUUGCAACGGGGAACAAGCGAAGCAGAGCUGGAGACAGAAAAAAGGAGGAGGGACCUUUGACAGAGUAGCACUGACGGACAGCUCGACAGUGCAAUACAUAAACAUGAGGUCAGAGAGCCGCAGUGGGAGACGGAGAAGGAAGAAGGAGGAAGAGCAAGAGAAAGUGUAUGAGCAGGGGAAAGACAGAUAUACAGCAUUAGAAAGGUUGUCUCCCACUGACAAGCUCUCACUCUGUUCAGGAAACCCACCAAUCAAUGCACACACACAUCAACCUGUGAGGUAGUGUGUGUGUUUGUGUGUGUGAUGGGGGAGAGGAUGUGCUAGUGGUCUGCGUGCUGCAGGAGAGUCUAUGUUUGAAAUGCAGAGCACGUCAAGAGUCCUAGGGAGCUUCUUUUGCAGCAAAGCCUCAUUAAAGAGACACUUGCCUUAAAGCAAGGAUAUACUGCCAGACCACACACACACACACACACACACUCAACACAACACUAGAGAUUCACUCAGGCUAAGAGAGUGACGCGCACACAGAAGCGGCUUCGGACAAAUUAAAUAAAAAUCUGUGUGAAGAAAUAACAGGAGCAAAUGGAGGAAUAAAUGCGGUGUUGUUAAUGUCCUCAGCUCCAAUCCUUUUUUCCAUUUGCCCUCCAUAUGAAUAAAGUCAUUUGUCCACUGGCAGUGCCUCCCACCAUCUCACACUAAUAUUAUAUUCAUGUAUAUUUGAUUGUGUCAACUCUGUGGAGUUGCUGUAUCUUGUGUGCCUUUUAAAAAUGCAUCUAUGAAUAAAUAAUGUCUGUAUCUGCUGAUUGAAAAAGCCAUAUUGCCAGAAAGCCAUGAUGAAAUGAUAAUGUAAUAUGUGUUCCUGUGUUGAAUAAAGCAAAGCACCCUUCA